UACGUAGGCAGCAAGCGUUGUUCGGAAUUCCUGGGCGUAAAGAGUGUGUAGGCGGUGCUCUAAGUUUGGAGUGACAGUUGGUGGCUUAACUGCCAAAGUGCUUCGAAAACUGACAGACUUGAGGGCUUCAGAGGGACACGGAAUUCCGGGUGGAGUGGUGAAAUGCGUAGAGAUCCGGAGGAACACCAAAGGCGAAGGCAGUGUCCUGGGGAGUACCUGACGCUCAGGUGCGAAAGCCAGGGGAGCGAACGGG
rnacentral:rRNA from 1 species